GAAAUGCGAUAAGUAGUGUGAAUUGCAGAAUUCAGUGAAUCAUCGAAUCUUUGAACGCACAUUGCGCCCUAUGGUAUUCUGUAGGGCAUGCCUGUUCGAGCGUUAUUCAAACCUUCAAGCCCUGCUUGGUGUUGGGCGUCUGUCCUGCCUCACGGCGCGGACUUGCCUCAAAUCUAUUAGCGGCUGGCACGUUGGCUUUGAGCGCAGCAGAAACGCGAACUCAAGACCAGCGGACUGGCUCCUAGAAGCAAACCCCCAUGAAUUUAACCUUAGAUUAGGUAGGGAUACCCGCUAAACUUAA
rnacentral:misc_RNA from 1 species